UCUGGUGACGAUAGCGAAGUGGACACACCUGUACCCAUCUCGAACACAGCAGUUAAGCACUUCAACGCCGACGAUAGUCCUAAGGGGCCAAAAUAGGAAGUUGCCAGUU
rnacentral:rRNA from 1 species